UGGGGAAUAUUGCACAAUGGGCGCAAGCCUGAUGCAGCCAUGCCGCGUGUAUGAAGAAGGCCUUCGGGUUGUAAAGUACUUUCAGCGGGGAGGAAGGGAGUAAAGUUAAUACCUUUGCUCAUUGACGUUACCCGCAGAAGAAGCACCGGCUAACUCCGUGCCAGCAGCCGCGGUAAUACGGAGGGUGCAAGCGUUAAUCGGAAUUGCUGGGCGUAAAGCGCACGCAGGCGGUUUGUUAAGUCAGAUGUGAAAUCCCCGGGCUCAACCUGGGAACUGCAUCUGAUACUGGCAAGCUUGAGUCUCGUAGAGGGGGGUAGAAUUCCAGGUGUAGCGGUGAAAUGCGUAGAGAUCUGGAGGAAUACCGGUGGCGAAGGCGGCCCCCUGGACGAAGACUGACGCUCAGGUGCGAAAGCGUGGGGAGCAAACAGG
rnacentral:rRNA from 1 species